CCACCGGCCGCCUUAAGUAAGGAGGCGGGGCCAGCCGGUCCGCGCCCGCGCCGCUCCCAUUGGUGGCUGCGCCUCCCGGCGGGAGACUCACAACGUCAUUGGCUGUCGCCAGGCGGGAGGCGCGCGGCCGGCGGGGGCGGGGCGGGCGCGCGUGAAGAAUCGAGAGCUUGUGUGUGUGUGUGUGUGUGUGUGUGUGUGUGUGUGUGUGUGUGUGUCUGUGUCUGUGUGUGUCUGUGUGUCUGUGUGUCUGUGUGUCUGUGUGUGUGUGUGUGUGUGCCUGUGUGUGUGCCUGUGUGUGUGCCUGUGUGUGUGCCUGUGUGUGCGUGUGUGUGUGCGUGUGUGUCUGUGUGUGUGUCUGUGUCUGUGUGUCUGUGUCUGUGUGUCUGUGUCUGUGUGUCUGUGUGUCUGUGUCUGUGUGUCUGUGUGUCUGUGUGUGUGUGUCUGUGUGUGUGUCUGUGUGUGUGUCUGUGUGUGUGUCUGUGUGUGUGUCUGUCUGUCUGUGUCUGUCUGUCUGUGUCUGUGUGUCUGUGUGUCUGUGUGUGUGUCUGUCUGUCUGUCUGUCUGUCUGUCUGUGUCUCUGUCUCUGUGUGUCUCUGUCUCUGUGUGUCUCUGUGUCUGUGCGUCUGUGUGUGUGUCUGUGUGUGUGUCUGUGUGUCUGUGUGCUCGCGCGUACAUGACAGUGCGUGUGUGAGCGGGGUGUGGGGGACAGGCUGUGCUGCAGUGCCUGGUGUGAGUGUGGGUGUCGCGAACAUCCCCGAGAAUGCGCACGUGGGUUUGUGCCCCAGUGCCUCUGUGUCCGCGCGUCUCAGCGCGCCGGUGUCUCUGCGUGGGCCCUGGGCCCGUUCAAGCCAGUUCUCCCCGUCGGUGCACGCCCGACAGCCGCCCGUGCAUGUGUGUCCGUGUCCCUGUCCGCACGCGUGGCCGCCGCUCUGUGCCCGCCGUGACCCCCCGGCUGCCUGUGCGCGGCUGUCCCGCCCACCUCCCCGCCCCGCACCGCCCGCCGGGCGCUGUCCGUGGUGGUGAAGCCGCGGAGGCGGCAGCGCUGCCCGGCCCUUCCCGGCGCUGCUCGCUUCCCUCCGUCCCCCGCUUCCCCGCGCAGCCAGCGGUGCCCGCCCCGUGGCUCGCUGGGAUGCGGGAGCUGCCCCGCUCAAGCGGUGCCGCAUCGACGGCGGUGCCCGCGGCGGAGCUGCCAAACAGCGACUCCCGUGAGGAUGUGAUCGGAGCAUCAGCCAUCGGGCACCGCUGCUUACACGGCGCGCCGAAAAUGUCUGCCCGCGGGUGCUGUGCACAGCGAGAGGGAGCGCAGGAGGGGCCUGGCGGUCCUGAGGGGAAGGGGCGAUCUCUGCCGAGGAAUGCUACGCUGCACCUUCAGGAGCAGCUCUCUGCAGCUCCCACGGCCCCCUGACAGAACUAAAGCUAUUAUGCAAUUGAAGUGUCUACAGCUGGGCGUAGCGAAAAAUGGUGCUGUUUGCAAUGCAGCUCAGGAGAUCACCUAUGUCAUCAGACUGUACUUCUGCAUCUCUCUUUAUCAGAAUAAUUCAGGCUGGUGCCCCUCGCUUCAAGAAGAGAGAAGACUGGUGAUGAGCCUCCAUCUGUUGUCUGUAUGCUGGCGUGUGGAUACCAGUCCUUGGACCUUGUGGCUUCAUGGUUUGAUUACGGGAUACCUUAACAUGUACAGGCCAUCAAUGUGAAGCUCGUUUCCACGUAGCAACACUGGGAUGAUGUACUGGGCUAUGGCCGAGGUAGGUCCAACUGGAACUGGCUAUGCCCUUUCCUUGUAGAGGCCAGCCCUGCAGCCCCGCAACUGCCAACAGCUUGCCAUGCAAUCCAGAAAAGAACUGUGCAUCAGCAAGUACACAAGUCACUGUAGAUCAUCUUCAGACUACCCCAGGCACAGCAAAAGACUCAACUGUAUGGUCCAAUACACAGAUAGUUGAUCUGUGCGGUAAGUCUCUUAUUUCAGCAGUUUUAGAUUCUCCACUCAUAUGACUGAAUAAACACUGAUUUUCUUAAAUAUCAUACAAAUCAUAUAAAUCAGCUUCAGUUAAAAAUAUAUCCAUAGAUACUUAUUUUUUUUCAAGACAUUAAAUAGUUUCAUAUGCUCGGUGAGCCUAGGACUCCAGAAGAGUUCAGUGUGAGUUCCUGGUGUACAAUGAAUAUUAGCUUAUGCCAUAACUUGGUUUA